ACUCCUACGGGAGGCAGCAGUAGGGAAUCUUCCACAAUGGACGAAAGUACUGAUGGAGCAACGCCGCGUGAGUGAAGAAGGGUUUCGGCUCGUAAAACCUCUGUUGUUAAAGAAGAACAUAUCUGAGAGUAACUGUUCAGGUAUUGACGGUAUUUAACCAGAAAGCCACGGCUAACUACGUGCCAGCAGCCGCGGUAAUACGUAGGUGGCAAGCGUUGUCCGGAUUUAUUGGGGCGUAAAGCGAGCGCAGGCGGUUUUUAAAGUCUGAUGUGAAAGCCUUCGGCUCAACCGAAGAAGUGCAUCGGAAACUGGGAAACUUGAGUGCAGAAGAGGACAGUGGAACUCCAUGUGGUAGCGGUGAAAUGCGUAGAUAUAUGGAAGAACACCAGUGGCGAAGGCGGCUGUCUGGUCUGUAACUGACGCUGAGGCUCGAAAGUAUGGGUAGCAAACA
rnacentral:rRNA from 1 species